AUUGAACGCUGGCGGCAUGCCUUACACAUGCAAGUCGAACGGCAGCACGGGUGCUUGCACCUGGUGGCGAGUGGCGAACGGGUGAGUAAUACAUCGGAACAUGUCCUGUAGUGGGGGAUAGCCCGGCGAAAGCCGGAUUAAUACCGCAUACGAUCUACGGAUGAAAGCGGGGGACCUUCGGGCCUCGCGCCAUAGGGUUGGCCGAUGGCUGAUUAGCUAGUGGGUGGGGGAAAGGCCUACCAAGGCGACGAUCAGUAGCUGGUCUGAGAGGACGACCAGCCACACUGGGACUGAGACACGGCCCAGACUCCUACGGGAGGCAGCAGUGGGGAAUUUUGGACAAUGGGCGAAAGCCUGAUCCAGCAAUGCCGCGUGUGUGAAGAAGGCCUUCGGGUUGUAAAGCACUUUUGUCCGGAAAGAAAUCCUUGGCCCUAAUACGGUCGGGGGAUGACGGUACCGGAAGAAUAAGCACCGGCUAACUACGUG
rnacentral:rRNA from 1 species